CUUUGACUAUCUACUGGCCAGAUUGGAUUUAGAAUCCAAUAAAAAAGAAGGGGAAAAAACAAUAAUUUUGAUAAUACAGAGGAAAAAAUCACCAAUCCAGUGGCAGAAGUGUAAUUCUGAGAGAUUAAAAGGUUAUAUGCUGUUAUAAAUUCUGCGCCUGUCUGAUUCUGUGGGAAGGAAACCGACACUGGCCAUAACUUGUGUUUAUACAUAGGGCUUUUGUUGGUGGCUCAGAGAGGGAGAGAGGGAAGCAGAAGAGGAAGUCUAGCCUGUGAAAAGAAAGUGCAAAUCUAAGAAGAUUAGGCCAGUGUCUUGGUAUGAUAUCAGAUAUCAGUGCCUACAAGAAUCUAUUUGUUAGCUGAAAAAUGAUGAUGGAAUCAUGCUAUUCACUCUAAACAAGAUUUGAGAUUUGUCUAGGUUUGAGAAAAUUUGUAUCAGAAAGGUUUCCUGGUAUUGCUGUGAAGAGCUUUGUUGGCAACAAAUUGGCUAUUCUACAAUGCAAACAUCCCAGAAGAAAACAAUUUCAGAUGGGUCUCGUAGGUAUGGUGACCAACCUAUGCAAUAUCAGGAGUCCUAUUGUUGGCCGCCCAUCCAGAAUAUUGAUGCAGGAAGUCAAGGGACGCACCUUUCAGCUAUGACUUCUGAUCAAUACUGUACCCUAGAAUCAUCCUCUGAAACUAGUGCUUACCCAGUUCACAAUUCUCCAUCCACAGCUAGUUUCUCGCCAAAUGAAAGUGUGGUUUCACAGCCAAAUUCUCGGUCAUAUCCUUCAGAUCUGCAGGAUUCCUCUGAGAAUGCUUGUGGUUCACCAACAAGUGAGUCUUAUGUCACCCACAAGUUAAGAGAACUGGAAACUGCUAUGCUGGGGCCUGAUUCAGAUAAUCUUGACAUGUACAGCAUGACUGCAAUGCCUGGACCCAACCAGAUUGUAUCUGAGGCAGAGAAAUGGAAGUUUUUGGUUGAGAUGAUGUCCAGAGGAGACUUGAAAGAAGCACUUUGCACUUGUGCUCUAGCCAUUGCAAAUGGUGAUAUGUUCACGGUUGAAUGGUUAAUGUCAGAGUUACGCCAGAUGGUGUCAGUUACUGGUGAGCCUAUCCAACGUUUGGGAGCUUACAUGCUGGAAGGCCUUGUUGCAAGGUUGGCAUCAUCAGGAAGUUCUAUCUACAAUGCCCUGAGGUGUAAGGAGCCUGCUGGUGCUGAUCUCCUUUCCUACAUGCUUUUACUCUAUGAAGCCUGCCCAUACUUCAAGUUUGGGUAUAUGUCAGCAAAUGGAGCAAUUGCUGAUGCAAUGAAGGAUGAAAUUAGUGUCCAUAUAAUUGAUUUUCAAAUUGCGCAAGGCAGCCAGUGGGUCACCUUAAUCCAGGCUCUUGCAGCUCGGCCUGGAGGACCCCCACGUAUUCGGAUUACAGGAAUUGAUGAUUCCACAUCAGCUUAUGCCCGGGGAGGAGGACUUGAUAUAGUGGGGAAGAGACUGUUGAAGCUCGCUGAGUCAUACAAGGUACCAUUUGAGUUCCAUACUGCUGGAGUUUCUGCUUCUGAAAUUCAAAUUGAAAAUCUUGGAAUUCAACCCGGGGAAGCUGUGGCAGUUAAUUUUGCAUUAACGCUCCACCACUUGCCAGAUGAAAGUGUGGGCACUCAAAAUCAUCGGGACAGGUUAUUGAGGUUGGUUAAAUCCUUGUCUCCCAAGGUGGUAACUCUUGUUGAACACGAAUCUAAUACUAAUACAGUCCCUUUCUUUGCCCGUUUUGUUGAGACACUAAACUAUUAUCUAGCUAUCUUUGAAUCAAUUGAUGUUACAUUACCAAGAGAAAACAAGAAACGAAUCAGUGUUGAACAGCACUGUCUUGCUCGGGAGGUUGUUAAUAUUGUAGCAUGUGAGGGUGCUGAGAGAGUUGAACGCCAUGAACCUCUUGGCAAGUGGAGAUCUCGGUUUGAGAUGGCUGGAUUUACACCUUAUCCACUAAGCUCUUUUGUCAAUUCUACUAUCAAGAUUCUGCUGGAGAACUACUCUGAAAAGUAUACUCUUGAAGAGAGAGAUGGAGCUCUCUUUCUUGGCUGGAUGAACCGACCUUUGGUUGCCUCUUGUGCAUGGAGAUGAUACAUGGAUAUCAGAUUGACAAGUCUAUUCUUCAUAUGGCAAUUUGAGACGAAAACUAUGACAAAGCAGGGAAGUACAGCACAUGGAUUUCUUAAGAUCACAGAUUCUGGGUUGUAGUGCAUCCCCUUCACUUCCACUGGAAUCACACUGUUUGUAUCCCAUCAACCUUAUCGAUCACUGUCCCAGCAAUUAUCCUGCACACAGUUACAGGCUUACAGCCCUUUCCAUUUUCUUUGAAAAGGAUACCUACAAGCAGGAUCCCUUGGAAUUUUUGCUGCAACAGGCAUUGUUGUGCGACAGGAUAUUGCUGUGCCAUAGAAUAGCAAAAGCUCGUUUCCAUCUACAAUGCUUCUUGGAUGUCUCUUAUGUUGCUCAUACGCAUGUUUUUUUAGUCUCCCUCUAUUUCUCUCAAACCUUUCCAGAAUUUCUUUGGAGUUCACCUUUAGGACCCUUUUGAUCAUCUGUAAGAUGUUCCUGGCUGGAUCUAAUAUUUAGCUCUGUUCAGAACGCAAGGAAAAUCACCAUGUUGUGGGACAAAUCAUUCUGAAGGAUUUCUAGGAUAGUAAUAGGAUCAUGCAUGUGAACGUAAAGGCGCACCUUGUAAGUAUAGAUAAACACAAAUAAUCGGAGCCAUAAAGAAACAGUCAAA